CACUAGUUGCCAUCAUUUAGUUGGGCGACUCUAGUGAGACUGCCGGUGACAAACCGGAGGAAGGUGGGGAUGACGUCAAGUCCUCAUGGCCCUUAUGGGUAGGGCUUCACACGUCAUACAAUGGUCGGUACAGAGGGUUGCCAAGCCGCGAGGUGGAGCCAAUCCCUUAAAGCCGAUCGUAGUCCGGAUCGUAGUCUGCAACUCGACUACGUGAAGUCGGAAUCGCUAGUAAUCGCAGAUCAGCAUGCUGCGGUGAAUACGUUCCCGGGUCUU
rnacentral:rRNA from 1 species